rnacentral:rRNA from 1 species
GAUGAACGCUGGCGGCGUGCCUAAUACAUGCAAGUCGAGCGAACAGACGAAGAGCAUGCUCCUCAGACGUUAGCGGCGGACGGGUGAGUAACACGUGGAUAACCUACCUAUAAGACUGGGAUAACUUCGGGAAACCGGAGCUAAUACCGGAUAAUAUAUUGAACCGCAUGGUUCAAUAGUGAAAGACGGUUUUGCUGUCACUUAUAGAUGGAUCCGCACCGCAUUAGCUAGUUGGUAAGGUAACGGCUUACCAAGGCAACGAUGCGUAGCCGACCUGAGAGGGUGAUCGGCCACACUGGAACUGAGACACGGUCCAGACUCCUACGGGAGGCAGCAGUAGGGAAUCUUCCGCAAUGGGCGAAAGCCUGACGGAGCAACGCCGCGUGAGUGAUGAAGGUCUUCGGAUCGUAAAACUCUGUUAUUAGGGAAGAACAAAUGUGUAAGUAACUAUGCACGUCUUGACGGUACCUAAUCAGAAAGCCACGGCUAACUACGUG